CCCUUAGAUGUUCUGGGCCGCACACGCGCUACACUGAAGGAGGCAGCGUGUACUCCUGGAUCGAAAGAUUUGGGUAACCCGCGAAUCUCCUUCGUGCUAGGGAUUGAGGUUUGCAAUUAUCCUUCAUGAACGAGGAAUUCCCAGUAAGUGCAAGUCAUAAGCUUGCGCUGACUACGUCCCUGCCCUUUGUACACACCGCCCGUCGCUACUACCGAUUGAAUGAUUUAGUGAGGACUUCGGAUUGGGACCGAUGCGGCUUUCGGGCUGCGUCGGUAUUCUGGAAAGAUGUCCAAACUGUAUCAUUUAGAGGAAGUAAAAGUCGUAACA
rnacentral:rRNA from 1 species